GGUCUAUUGAGGUAAUGGCUAACCUGCCCGACUGUCUCUUGGGCACUGCGAGUUCGAUUCUCGCAUAGACCGCAA
rnacentral:tRNA from 2 species